AUUGAACGCUGGCGGCAUGCUUUACACAUGCAAGUCGAACGGCAGCACGGGCUUCGGGCCUGGGUGGCGAGUGGCGAACGGGUGAGUAAUGCAUCGGAACGUGCCCAUUUGUGGGGGGAUAACUACGCGAAAGCGUGGCUAAUACCGCAUACGCCCUGAGGGGGAAAGCGGGGGAUUCUUCGGAACCUCGCGCAAUUGGAGCGGCCGAUGUCAGAUUAGCUUGUUGGUGAGGUAAAGGCUCACCAAGGCGACGAUCUGUAGCGGGUCUGAGAGGAUGAUCCGCCACACUGGAACUGAGACACGGUCCAGACUCCUACGGGAGGCAGCAGUGGGGAAUUUUGGACAAUGGGGGCAACCCUGAUCCAGCCAUGCCGCGUGAGUGAAGAAGGCCUUCGGGUUGUAAAGCUCUUUCGGCCGGGAAGAAAUCGUAUGGGUUAAUACCCUGUGCGGAUGACGGUACCGGCAUAAGAAGCACCGGCUAACUACGUG
rnacentral:rRNA from 1 species